rnacentral:rRNA from 1 species
AGAGUUUGAUCAUGGCUCAGGACGAACGCUGGCGGCGNUAACACAUGCAAGUCGAACGAGGUCCAAGGAGUAGCAAUACUCCUGAAGACUUAGUGGCGAACGGGUGAGUAACACGUGAGCAACCUGCCCCGAAGACCGGGAUAACAGCGGGAAACCGCUGCUAAUACCGGAUGUCCCCAUCGGACCACAUGGCCUGAUGAGGAAAUGGAUUCCGCUUCGGGAGGGGCUCGCGGCCUAUCAGCUUGUUGGUGGGGUAACGGCCCACCAAGGCGACGACGGGUAGCUGGUCUGAGAGGACGAUCAGCCACACUGGGACUGAGACACGGCCCAGACUCCUACGGGAGGCAGCAGUGGGGAAUAUUGCGCAAUGGGCGAAAGCCUGACGCAGCAACGCCGCGUGAGGGAUGAAGGCCUUCGGGUUGUAAACCUCUUUCGAGCAGGGACGAUAAUGACGGUACCUGCAGAAGAAGCUCCGGCCAACUACGUGCCAGCAGCCGCGGUAAUACGUAGGGAGCGAGCGUUGUCCGGAUUCAUUGGGCGUAAAGAGCUCGUAGGCGGCUUGAUAAGUCGGAUGUGAAACCUCCAGGCUUAACCUGGAGUCGCCAUCCGAUACUGUCAUGGCUAGAGUCCGGUAGGGGCCCACGGAACUCCUGGUGUAGCGGUGAAAUGCGCAGAUAUCAGGAAGAACACCGGUGGCGAAGGCGGUGGGCUGGGCCGGCACUGACGCUGAGGAGCGAAAGCGUGGGGAGCGAACAGGAUUAGAUACCCCCGUAGUCC